AGCAAAUAUUUAUUUCCCACAUAUUUUCCCUUUUCUUUCAGGCUCCAGUUUUGAAACCUGCGGAUUCCCCCGCUCAAACAUUGCUUGACUGCCAUGAAUUGGGUCGGUUUGUUUUCCUCUGGUUUCUCGAGCUGCUUCUUACAAACGCCUUGCAGCAGGGCAGGGGGGGGAGACGGGGGGAAGGGAAACCAGCUCUAUGGGGCAGCGCUGUUUUACAUGCGGGUUAGACACGGCUAGAGGCCAAGGUCAAGUUGAAUGUUGCAGUCUAGCCAAUGUGAGAACUGUCAUUUGCAGCCUGAAGACCC
rnacentral:sRNA from 1 species